rnacentral:lncRNA from 1 species
UGAGAGAUGACCAAUAGUCCUUACGUGUGGAAUUUGUGGAAGAAAAUAAAAACAAGCAAAAUGUAGUGUUGGAGUCAAGAUUAUCAAAUGUAUAUUCUCAUUAGAGAAAAUCUAACAAAAUCACUCAAUUCAUAAUACAGCAACCUCCAGACCUGAAUGAGUUUGAUGAGAAAGCAUGGGAAGAAAUGCCAGAUCACUGUGCUCCCUGUGUUGAGACUGAAACAAGAAGGCCUGAAGCAGGGGAACAUGGCUGUGUAACGGGGGCAGAAACACCUGAACCUCCAGGUACAGUUUUUUAAAAAGUGCAAACGUACUCUAGAUCUGGGAGGAGAAGAAGAAUUCCCUGAGAUAAAAUGUUGGAAAAGAAUUUGCUGACCUCUCAGUAUGUCACAGAGCAACAGUGGUUUUUAUCUGGCCUCCCAC